GGAAGAAAGAAAAAAGAAGAACGAAGGGAAAAGGAGAAAAUCGCGUAAUCCCGCAGACGUAAUCGAAAGCAAAGAUACAGUGUCGUUCGACUUUGUAUUUUUCACACGUACCAGCGUUGUUUUCUUAUCACGGAGCCGGAGUGGCUCGUAAGUCGUGCACAAAAUCGCUUCGUGGAACUCGUCUCUCACACCCUGUCUGCUCGCCAUUGUUUCACCAACCCUCCAGACGCGAUUCGAACCGUCCACUUUCGUAAGAAGAUCCUGAUAGAGCUGGCAAUCGAGGCAGCUUUCG
rnacentral:misc_RNA from 1 species